AAGUGUUAAAGAAGAAACAGAAGGGGUAUGAGUGUUCUUGUGUCCAUUUUAUUAAGUGUAUAACAGAUUCUGUUUGUGAUUGUAUGUUCUGGACUAUACGGAUAUUCAACUGGAACGACCUAAAGUCUGAUCGGGUGAAGCAAAAGUUGUAAUGACUAAUUAAAAUCAGGAGAAAAAGCUCCAUGCGCACAAUUAAAACCGGGUUCAACACUUCUCUUAGAAUUUCUAGAAUCUGAACCGAGUACUUUGUCGUUCAGAGUGAAGUUCAUGUUUUCUUUCUAUUACGUAGAUACUGAAUGAUGAAAUACUUUUGCUAUGUUGGAGAGGAAGCUAGAUGAACGUUAGGAUCUUAAACUGGAUAAAAGUUUUUUUACAAUAUUGUAUCCUAGGUACAAGGCCUUUAUUUUUGUGCUAACCAUGACUGACACAGAAACUAAAGAAAAUUCUUUGUUAACUUGAUUUAGUGUCCGAAUAUGAGAUCAGUUUACAUUGUUGGGUAUGUUUUGGUUCAUGUAUAGCAUUCCUCUUUGACAACUUAAUGUUUUUGUCUUCCAGGAAUAAUUAUCUCUUCCAGAGGGGAUGGCAUCAGUAGAUGGGUUAACAACAAGGAUGAUGGACCAUUACAAUAUUCUGCUUAAGGAUGGAGUGAUGGCAAAAUAACCCGAUCAUAUGUGGAUGCAGAGACAAACUUGAGGUUCGUCAACUUUGAAAAGUUUAUGAGAAGAUCUAAAGAAGUUGACGAACCCUCCAUCCAUGCUUCUCAAUCUUCCCAAGUCUUUAAUUUUCCUGAUGAGUCUAGAAAUCAUUGGCUUCUUGUUUUACAAUCUCCUAAGAGAUCAGGCCUAAAUGUGAAUGCUUAUGAAGAUAUCCAUAUGUGUUCAGUGCAUCUGCGAAUCAAGCUCCACUAAUUUCAAAAUAUGUGGAAAACAACCAGUAUUGGGAUGGAGAUCAGGAAAUAAGCCAAAAACAAGGAUUUCAGAACUUUCAUCGAGGAGAGAUCUUCAUGUAGACUUAGCAUAAGGGGCGCUCCAUGCACUUCGCUUGCAAGCAUUAGCCCGGUGUACUAUUCCGAUCAGUUGGACAGCUCAGUACAUCUUUUUGCUGGUUUUAGCUUCUUUUUUUUGCGCUGUAGGUUGAGUUUCAUGGAUUAUGUAAGAAAAAUCAUCUUUAAGAAUGCUUAUACUAAUAGUUCUACUUAUAACUUAGAAUCGCGAAUUCACUAUUCAAUACUUGUGUAGAGUUUGUUGGGGUUUUUUGACCGAAGUGUCAGCUUGGUUCAAAUGUAAAUUGAGAUACUGCUGUAAAAAAAUUCAAAUUUAAAUUGAAUGGUGGAA